rnacentral:rRNA from 1 species
GUGUCGGGAAGAAAGUAAUUAUAAUAUAUUAAAUAUUUUAUAAAAUAUUUCUUUACCUGACUUUUUCGAGGAUAAGCUCGGAAAAAAUUUUAAGAUAAAUAUUUAUAAUUAAUUGCUAUGUGGGCUUAGAAUUAGCCAUCAUUGGAGUUUGUCAUAAAACAGCGUUUUUAGUGACCAAAAUAAAUAUAUUUUAUUCUAAUUUUUUACUAAAAUAAAAGCUUUAAUUAGAAAAUGCUUAACACCUAUGCUAGGAUGAGUAUUAAAACUUACAUAUAUUAUUAAGAACUUUUACAAGUAUUUUCUUCGAAAAAAAUAUUAAUUAAGUUAAAUUAGUUAGAAGGAACUCGGCAAAUUUAAUGCUUCCGCCUGUUUAUCAAAAACAUGGCUCUUUGCAUUUAUUUGAUAAAGAGUCAGGCCUGCCCAGUGACAUAAUAUUCAACGGCCGCGGUACUCUAACCGUGCAAAGGUAGCAUAAUCAUUUGCCUUAUAAUUGAAGGCUCGUAUGAAUGGUUUGACGAGAGCAAUACUGUCUCCUUUCUAUUCUUUAGAAUUUAACCUUUAGGUGAAGAGGCCUAAAUUUAAUUGAAGGACAAGAAGACCCUGUCGAGCUUAAAAGAUAUUAAAGAAGUUUAUAUAUUUUUAAAUAAAUUUUCUUUUAAGCUUUUUAGUUGGGGCGACUAAGGAACAAAAAAAGCUUCUUGUAAAAAACAGACUAUCAGGUUUUGAUCCGGUAUUAUCCGAUUUAAGGAAUUAGUUACCGCAGGGAUAACAGCAUAAUCUCUCUUGAGAGUCCUAAUCGAAAGAGGGGGUUGUGACCUCGAUGUUGGACUAAAAUAUCCUAAAGAUGCAGAAGUCUUUAAAGG